AUUACUCGUAUAGCCUCCUACGGGUGGCAGCAGUGGGGAAUAUUGCACAAUGGGGGAAACCCUGAUGCAGCAACGCCGCGUGAGUGAUGACGGUCUUCGGAUUGUAAAGCUCUGUCUUUGGGGACGAUAAUGACGGUACCCAAGGAGGAAGCCACGGCUAACUACGUGCCAGCAGCCGCGGUAAUACGUAGGUGGCAAGCGUUGUCCGGAUUUACUGGGCGUAAAGGGAGCGUAGGCGGAUUUUUAAGUGGGAUGUGAAAUACUCG
rnacentral:rRNA from 1 species